GAUGAACGCUGGCGGCGUGCCUAAUACAUGCAAGUCGAGCGAACAGACGAGGAGCUUGCUCCUCUGACGUUAGCGGCGGACGGGUGAGUAACACGUGGAUAACCUACCUAUAAGACUGGGAUAACUUCGGGAAACCGGAGCUAAUACCGGAUAAUAUAUUGAACCGCAUGGUUCAAUAGUGAAAGACGGUUUUGCUGUCACUUAUAGAUGGAUCCGCGCCGCAUUAGCUAGUUGGUAAGGUAACGGCUUACCAAGGCAACGAUGCGUAGCCGUCCUGAGAGGGUGAUCGGCCACCCUGGAACUGAGACACGGUCCAGACUCCUACGGGAGGCAGCAGUAGGGAAUCUUCCGCAAUGGGCGAAAGCCUGACGGAGCAACGCCGCGUGAGUGAUGAAGGUCUUCGGAUCGUAAAACUCUGUUAUUAGGGAAGAACAAAUGUGUAAGUAACUAUGCACGUCUUGACGGUACCUAAUCAGAAAGCCACGGCUAACUACGUG
rnacentral:rRNA from 1 species